rnacentral:lncRNA from 1 species
GCGAUGGAGCACCAAGAUUAUCAAUACUAUAAUAAUUUUGUUAGUUUUAUACGGCACGGAUGUAGUUUUUAAUUCCUUUUCUUAUUCUCAUGGGUCUAUCUAUGACACAUCAAGACCAAAAUUUUAUUAUUAAUAAUGCCAAAUUUAAAUAUUGAAGAGAAGGAUUGGUUUGUUGUAUUAUCAACAUUCCCAAAUUGAUUUGUUUAACA